rnacentral:rRNA from 1 species
GACGGAGGGUGCAAGCGUUGUUCGGAUUGACUGGGCGUAAAGGGCGUGUAGGCGGUUUCCCAAGUCCGUUGUGAAAGCCCGAGGCUCAGCCUCGGAAGUGCAUCGGAAACUAGGCAGCUGGAGUGCGAUAGAGGAGGGUAGAAUUCCUGGUGUAGCGGUGAAAUGCGUAGAUAUCAGGAGGAAUACCGGCGGCGAAGGCGGCCCUCUGGAUCGUUGCUGACGCUGAGACGCGAAAGCGUGGGGAGCAAACAGG